rnacentral:rRNA from 1 species
CAAUAGCGUAUAUUAAAGUUGUUGCGGUUAAAAAGCUCGUAGUUGGAUCUCGGCGGGCAGGGGGUGGUUCGCUCUUCAGCGCUACUGCCCCGCUUUGCCCGUGUGAUUGGCGGAGGUUUCGGGGUGCUCUUCGUUGAGUGACUCGGAGCGCCGUCAGGUUUACUUUGAAAAAAUUAGAGUGCUCAAAGCAGGCUUUUCACGCUUGAAUAUUCGUGCAUGGAAUAAUGGAAUAGGAACUCGUUUCUAUUUUGUUGGUUUUCGGAAAUCGAGUUAAUGAUUAACAGGGACAAUUGGGGGCAUUAGUAUUCAGACGACAGAGGUGAAAUUCUUGGACCGUCUGAAGACUGACUACUGCGAAAGCAUUUGCCAAGAGUGUUUUCAUUAAUCAAGAACGAAAGUUUAGAGGUUUCGAAAGACGUAGUUAAGUACUAACCGAAUUACCCUAGUACGUACGUAGGACCCUAAGGGCCCAAACGGACCAACGGGGGAACUAAGGGGGGAUA